UACGUAGGGGGCAAGCGUUGUCCGGAAUUAUUGGGCGUAAAGGGCGCGCAGGCGGCCCGUUAAGUCUGAUGUGAAAGUCCAGCGCUCAACGUUGGGAUCGCAUUGGAAACUGGCGGGCUUGAGUGCAGGAGAGGGGAGUGGAAUUCCACGUGUAGCGGUGAAAUGCGUAGAGAUGUGGAGGAACACCAGUGGCGAAGGCGGCUCUCUGGCCUGUAACUGACGCUGAGGCGCGAAAGCGUGGGGAGCGAACAGG
rnacentral:misc_RNA from 1 species